rnacentral:rRNA from 1 species
ACGACCGGGAAUUAGCCCAGACACUGAAUCCUGUAUCUUUGAUACUNGGANUUGUAGNGUAANGGUUGUANCUUUGAUUGUGAAUCGCAUUCCAAAUUCACUUGAUNGUGAUGUUGCCCAAANAGGGNGUUAAACCCGUUGNAANGNGUGAAACUGUUAANGAUNCUNCCUAUGANCCGNAUNGUUUGAAAANGCANNCCAANUNGGGNGGAAANCUNCNNCUAAGGCUAAAUACUUGNGCUANCCCNAUANAAAACAANUCCCGNGAGGNAAANUUNAAAANANCUUUGAAAAGAGANUUAAAUAGUNCGUGAAANCNCUUANAGGUAAACNAGUANACCCAAAAAUGUAGUGUGGGAUUCAGUNGGUUUGUGUUUUGUGUGUUAACAGUGAUAUUUUAAUCAUGGGAUCACUGUUAUCUUAUUUAUCAAAAUGCAAACGAUGCACUUUCCAUGCAACAAAGCUGCGAUCGAUAGCGUUGAUUUUCUGUCGUAUUAAUGAAGGUGAUCAUUUUCUCGGAAAUGGUUUUAUAGCUUUCUACACGGUCAAUCAAUUUAUCGGUGAAUACGAUUGGUCAUUGUUACUGAUGUUUGAUGUCAGUUGUUUGAUUGUAAACUUUUAAUGAGAUUACUUUUAAAUAAAUUGAUGUUGGUAUUGGUAAUGGAUUAAUCAAAAUCUGCAGUGUAUAUGUAGGUUACCUACUCGUCCCGUCUUGAAACACGGACCAAGGAGUUUUAUAUGAUCGCGAGUCAAAGAGCUUUACGAAACUCCACGGCGCAAGUAACUUAAAGGUUUACGUUAGUAAGCUGAAAUGUGACCUCAUUGAAUCCGUUCAAUAGAGAGCAACAUUGACCUGUCUAAAGAAUUUCGAUUCUGGGCGGAGUUUGAGCGAUCAUGUAGAGACCCGAAAGAUGGUGAACUAUGCUUGUGCAGGUUGAAGUCAGGGGAAACUCUGAUGGAGGACCNNCGNNNNUCUGACGUGCAAAUCGAUCGUCGGACAUGAGUAUAGGGGCGAAAGACUAAUCGAACCAUCUAGUAGCUGGUUCCCUCCGAAGUUUCCCUCAGGAUAGCUGGCGUUUAUGUGUUGUAGUUUUACCUGGUAAAGCGAAUGAUUAGAAGUAUUGGGGGCGAAAUGUUCUCAACUUAUUCUCAAACUUUAAAUGGGUUCGAAGUGCAGCUCGUUUUAUUAGAGUUGUACAUGGAAUACAAAUGCCUAGUGGGCCAUUUUUGGUAAGCAGAACUGGCGAUGUGGGAUGAACCAAACAUCCGGNUAAGGUGCCUAACAUUACGCUCAUGAGAAACCACAAAAGGUGUUGGUUGAUACAGACAGCAGGNCGGUGGACAUGGAAGUCGUCAUCCGNUAAGGAGUGUGUAACAACUCACCUGCCGAAUCAACCAGCCCUGAAAAUGGAUGGCGCUGUAGCGUGAGACCUAUACCGGAUCGGUAUCNUAAGGUGAUUAUNGAAUAACCACUCGGGUAAAGCGAUGCCGUGUAGGAGGGUGCCGUGAUUGCUAGGAAGCUACUGGCGUGAGUCAGAGUGGAGCGGUCACGGGUACAGAUCUUGGUAG